rnacentral:rRNA from 1 species
GACGAACGCUGGCGGCGUGCCUAAUACAUGCAAGUCGAACGCAGUGGGGACGGGUGAGUAACACGUGGGUAACCUCCCAUCAGAGGGGAUAACACUUGGACACAGGUGCUAAACCGAUACUGAUGGAUGGACGCGCGGUGCAUUAGCUAGUUGGUGAGGUAACGGCUCACCAAGGCCACGAUGCAUAGCCGACCUGAGAGGGGGAUCGGCCACACUGGGACUGAGAAACGGCCCAUACGCCUACGGGAGGCAGCAGUAGGGAAUCGUCGGCAAGUGACGAAAGUCUGACCGAGCACCGCCGCGGGAGUUAAGAAGGUUUUCGGGUCGGAAAACUCUGUUGUUAGAGAAGCGGUAUCUAACCAGAAAGCCACGGCUAACUACGUGCCAGCAGCCGCGGUAAUAC